UUUUUCCCAAACUUUCAAAACAACGCAUCAUCUACUUGCCCUCUCCUCGCAACGCAUCGAAAUUGACACACGGCAAGUAGAAAGCUUUGCACAAACAAAUCGGUGGAUACGAGCAAGUAGGAAGCUGGUGGCUAUAAUUAAUUAAUUAAUUAAUUACGACACACGGCAGCCUGCCUCCAAUGCAAGGGCAUGAAUCGACUUCACACAAUUAAUUAGUCCCAUGCACAUUGCCAAAACCCCCCCUUUUCCCUUUUAAGCCGUAUUUAUUAUUGAAUGAAUAAAUACAAUGAUUGUAAAUUGAUGGUCCAUACAAUUUGUCUUUUAUUUUAUUUUUAUCAUAAAUCAGCACAAAUUGAUUAGCGAAUUUCAUGUUCAAAUUUUUUAACCCACAUUCUAAUGUUGUUCACACAUUUCAUUGGGAUGUAAUUUUGCACUAAUUU
rnacentral:lncRNA from 1 species